GGGAUUGCCUUAGUAACUGCGAGUGAAGCGGCAAAAGCUCAAAUUUGAAAUCGGUGUCUACAUGAGGCGCCGAGUUGUAAUUUGGAGGGACAACUUUGGGCUGAACCACAUCGUAAGUUCCUUGGAACAGGACGUCAUAGAGGGUGAGAAUCCCGUGUCUCGAUGUUGGGUCAAACCGUGUAAAGUGUCUCCGACGAGUCGAGUUGUUUGGGAAUGCAGCUCAAAAUGGGUGGUAAAUUUCAUCUAAAGCUAAAUAUUGGCGAGAGACCGAUAGCGCACAAGUAGAGUGAUCGAAAGAUGAAAAGCACUUUGAAAAGAGAGUCAAAAAGUACGUGAAAUUGUUGAAAGGGAAGCGCUUGCGACCAGACUCGAUCUUUGGGGAUCAGUUGGGCUUCGGUCCGCUGCCCUCGCCAUUGAUUGGGCCAGCAUCGGUUCCGGCGGUGGGACAAAAGGAGGUGGAAUGUGGCUCCCUUUGGGGAGUGUUAUAGCCACCUUCACAAUGCUGCCAGUCGGGACCGAGGACCGCGCUUCGGCUAGGAUGCUGGUGUAAUGGUCUUAAGCGACCCGUCUUGAAACACGGA
rnacentral:rRNA from 1 species